AUGGUGGCAGAGCCCAUAAACGACAUGGCAGCAGAGCCAUUAAAGAGCAUGGUGGCAGAGCCCAUAAACGACAUGGUUGCAGACCCCAUAUGCAGCAUGGUCACAGAAUGCGUAGACAGCAUGGUUGCAGAGCCCAUAAGCAGCAUGGUUGCAGAGCCUAUAAACAGCUUGGUGCCAGAGCCCAUAUGCAGCAUGGUCGAAGAGUGCAUAAACAGCAUGGUUGCAGAGCCUUUAAACAGCAUGAUGCCAGAGCCCAUAAACACCAUGGUUGCAGAGCCCAUAAGCAGCAUAUUUGUUGAACCCUUAAACAGCAUGGUUGCAGAGCCUAUAAGCAGCAUGGUGGCAGAGCCCAUAAGCAGCAUGGUGGCAGAGCCCAUAAGCAGCAUAGUUGCAGAGCCCAUAAACAGCAUGGUUGCAGAGCCUUUAAACAGCUUGGUGCCAGAGCCCAUAAGCAGUGUGGUUGCAGAAUGCAUAAAUAGCAUGGUGGCAGACCCCAUAAGCAGCUUGGUGCCAGAGCCCAUAAACAGCAAGUUUGCAGAGCCCAUAAGCAGCGUGAUUGCAGAGCCCAUAAACAACGUGGUUGCAGAACACAUAAACAGCAUGUUUACAGAGCACAUAAGCAGCAUGGUUGCAGAAUGCAUAAACAGCAUGGUCGCAGAACAUAUAAGUAACGUGAUUGCAGAGCGCAUAAGAAGCAUGGUCAUUGAGCACAUGAGCAACAUGAUUGUAGAUCAUAUGAGCAGCAUGGUUGCAGAGCCCAUAAGCAACAUCAUUGCAGAGCACAUAGGCAACAUUUUUACACAGCAUAUAAGCAGCAUGUUUACAGAGGACACAAGCAGCAUGUUUACAGAAUACAUGAGCAGCAUGGUUGCAGAGCACAGGAGAAGAAGCAUGAUUGCAGAACACAUGAGAAGAAGCAUGGUUGCAGAACACAUGAGCGGCAUGGUUGCAGAACACAUGAGAGGCAUGGUUGCAGAACACAUAAGCAGCAUGGUUGCAGAGCACAUAAGCAGCAUGGUUGCAGAGCCCAAGAAAUGA
rnacentral:lncRNA from 1 species